rnacentral:lncRNA from 1 species
GGGGCAAGUUGAAUAAAUUGUAGAGAUCUAUUGGACAGCAUGGUGAAUACAGUUAAUAAUAAUGUUUAAAGUUGAUCUCAGUGCCUCACCCAUGCUAGCAAACACCCUACCAUUGAGCUACAUUCCCAGUCCUUUUUUUUAUUUUUUAUUUUGAGACAGAGUAUCACUAAGUUGUUGGAGCUGGCCUCAACUUGCUAUACUGUUCUCUCAGCCUCCUUAAUCGUUUGGAUUACAGGUGUGUACCACCACUCCCAGAAUGUCAAACAUCUUUUCACAUGCUUGUCUGCCACUUGCAUAUCAUCUUUGGAUGUCUACCCAAGUCCCUUGCCUGUUCUUUAAUCAAAUUAUUUGAGUUUUUGAGGUUGAGUUGUAGGAGUUCUUUAUAUAUUUAAGAUGUUAACCUCUUCUUGGAUAUAUGAGCUGCAAAUAUCUUAUUCUGUACAUUACCUUUUUGCUCUCAUGUGUCCUUUGACACAGAAAAUUUCUUAAGUGUGAUGUAGCCCCACAUAUCUGUUUUUGCUUUGAUUAACUAUGAUUUUGGUACCACAUCCAAGAAAGUAUUACCAAGUCCAAUGUUACAAAGUGUCCCCCUGUUUUCUUCAAGGAAUUUCACAGUUUUAGGUCUUACAUUUAGGUAUUUUAUUUCAUUUUAUCUUUGGUACCAGGAAUUGAACGCAGAAAUGCUCUAC